UGUAUCGCUUACCAUCAGGCGAACGGCAAGCUCGUCUCGUCAUUCAAAGCAAUAAAAAAAAGAACUCGUGUCGUGCUGAAUGUGGAACUGCAAACGGAAUCUGGCUCACGUUCGCGAAGUCUGCAUGAACAUUGCCAGUUUGAAAUGCGAUAUUUUACAUCUGUUCCUUAACUUUAAUAUAACCUGACAUGACUGUGAUUAAACUUGAUACUAGAAGAAUUACUAGUACAUUA